AAAAAUAAACUGAAACAAAAUUACAAAAUCAAUAUGGAUCUUCCUAUAAUGCGUGUAAACAUAUAAGGGUCAAUGCUGGAAAUAUUCUAAACCUCCAAAACAUUCUGAUUAAGUAGGAAUCCAAUUACAAAUACAUUCAAAAUACCAGUCCAAAUAAGAAAUAAGCACAUAAUUUAACUGAAUAAUAGCGUGAAAGAAGAAGGAUCCAUGGCGAAAUUAUCCUUCUCCACGAAAAGGCGCGGAUCCUGGGGAGAGAGGAAUUGGAUCGGGCCAGGCAAGCUUAAAUGGCGUCGUUUCAAGGCUACAAUUCCAUGCCUUGAACGUCGUCGUUUCACGGUGCUGUUUAAAAGUGAAAAAAAAAGAGAAAAAAACAGCUUCAAAAGCUUAUUUCAGCAGAGCCAAACGAAAAGGGGAAAAGAAAACCCUAAGGGUUUGCUCACAUUCAAUCGCCACUUUCAACAUCAAAAUUGAUGAAGGGCGCCGCUUGAUUUCCUUCUCCACACAACGCCGAUUCUUCCUCAAAUCACAGCCAACAGACGUGGCCCUCUAAUGAUGAUCUUCGGCCU
rnacentral:lncRNA from 1 species